GUCUUAAGGGCUUAGAACCACUUUGAGCAUUUCUGGCUAAUGUCUGUAUUCUCUCGUCUGUGUUCCGUCCCACGCGUUGCGUUUUAGUACCUGAACGCUCCACUGGCAAAAAUCACUUAGCGGCUGACGAAUUGGAUGACAGACGCUUGGGAUAUUAUUAUAGACUAAAUUAACUGUAAACUAAUGAAAAUUAAAUUAUAUUUUAACCACGCGAUA